rnacentral:rRNA from 1 species
AUGGAGAGUAGUAAAUGUUCUAUGCUUGUAGAUAAUGAAAAGAAUGCUUUAGGUGCUGGUUAUAUUGUUGAAUUCAUUCAUGAUGCUACUGAAAAAUUUUAUGAGGGAGGAACAUAUGCUUGUAGGAAUUGCAAUAAUAUCAAGUUUCCUCUCUAUGUGGUGAAAAUCUUGAAGCUACGCUUGUUUUACCUUCCUAUGCUAGUUGAUUAUUGUUCCCAUAAGUUGUUUGCUCACAAAAUCACUAGGCAUAGGAAGUGGGUUAGACUUAAAGGUGCUAGUCAUAUGCUUCAUGAUGCUUCCGUUAUGUUUCAAUUCUUAUCUUUUAUGUGA